GUGCUCCCUUAGCAGCACAUAUACUAAACAGGAACAAAACACAGAUGAGCAUGGCCCCUGAGCAAUAAUGACAUACAAAUUCACAAAGCAUUCCACAUUUUU
ensembl:snRNA U6 U6 spliceosomal RNA